AUUGAACGCUGGCGGCAGGCCUAACACAUGCAAGUCGAGCGGAUGAAGGGAGCUUGCUCCUGGAUUCAGCGGCGGACGGGUGAGUAAUGCCUAGGAAUCUGCCUGGUAGUGGGGGAUAACGUCCGGAAACGGGCGCUAAUACCGCAUACGUCCUGAGGGAGAAAGUGGGGGAUCUUCGGACCUCACGCUAUCAGAUGAGCCUAGGUCGGAUUAGCUAGUUGGUGGGGUAAAGGCCUACCAAGGCGACGAUCCGUAACUGGUCUGAGAGGAUGAUCAGUCACACUGGAACUGAGACACGGUCCAGACUCCUACGGGAGGCAGCAGUGGGGAAUAUUGGACAAUGGGCGAAAGCCUGAUCCAGCCAUGCCGCGUGUGUGAAGAAGGUCUUCGGAUUGUAAAGCACUUUAAGUUGGGAGGAAGGGCAGUAGGUUAAUACCUUGCUGUCUUGACGUUACCAACAGAAUAAGCACCGGCUAACUUCGUG
rnacentral:rRNA from 1 species